rnacentral:rRNA from 1 species
GAGUUUGAUCCUGGCUCAGAUUGAACGCUGGCGGCAUGCCUUACACAUGCAAGUCGAACGGCAGCACGGGAGCUUGCUCCUGGUGGCGAGUGGCGAACGGGUGAGUAAUGCAUCGGAACGUAUCCUGGAGUGGGGGGUAACGUAGCGAAAGUUACGCUAAUACCGCAUAUUCUGUGAGCAGGAAAGCGGGGGACCUUCGGGCCUCGCGCUCUUGGAGCGGCCGAUGUCGGAUUAGCUAGUUGGUGAGGUAAAGGCUCACCAAGGCGACGAUCCGUAGCAGGUCUGAGAGGAUGAUCUGCCACACUGGAACUGAGACACGGUCCAGACUCCUACGGGAGGCAGCAGUGGGGAAUUUUGGACAAUGGGGGCAACCCUGAUCCAGCCAUGCCGCGUGAGUGAAGAAGGCCUCGGUU